CCGUAGCCCAAGAGAUCGGGAUAACACCUGGAAACAGAUGCUAAUACCGGAUAACAACAGAUGAUGCCUAUCAACUGUUUAAAAGAUGGUUCUGCUAUCACUCUUGGAUGGACCUGCGGUGCAUUAGCUAGUUGGUAGGGUAACGGCCUACCAAGGCGAUGAUGCAUAGCCGAGUUGAGAGACUGAUCGGCCACAUUGGGACUGAGGCACGGCCCAAACUCCUACGGGAGGCAGCAGUC
rnacentral:rRNA from 1 species